rnacentral:rRNA from 1 species
GUGGCUUGUCGCGUCUGCCGUGAAAACCCGAGGCUCAACCUCGGGCGUGCGGUGGGUACGGGCAGGCUAGAGUGUGGUAGGGGAGACUGGAACUCCUGGUGUAGCGGUGAAAUGCGCAGAUAUCAGGAAGAACACCGAUGGCGAAGGCAGGUCUCUGGGCCAUUACUGACACUGAGAAGCGAAAGCAUGGGUAGCGAACAGGAUUAGAUACCCUGGUAGUCCAUGCCGUAAACGUUGGGCACUAGGUGUGGGGGGCAUUCCACGUUUUCCGCGCCGUAGCUAACGCAUUAAGUGCCCCGCCUGGGGAGUACGGCCGCAAGGCUAAAACUCAAAGGAAUUGACGGGGGCCCGCACAAGCGGCGGAGCAUGCUGAUUAAUUCGAUGCAACGCGAAGAACCUUACCAAGGCUUGACAUGCACCGGACGGUCGCAGAGAUGUGGCUUUCUUCGGACUGGUGCACAGGUGGUGCAUGGUUGUCGUCAGCUCGUGUCGUGAGAUGUUGGGUUAAGUCCCGCAACGAGCGCAACCCUCGUUCUAUGUUGCCAGCACGUGAUGGUGGGGACUCAUAGGAGACUGCCGGGGUCAACUCGGAGGAAGGUGGGGACGACGUCAAAUCAUCAUGCCCCUUAUGUCUUGGGCUUCAAGCAUGCUACAAUGGUCGGUACAAUGGGUUGCGAAACUGUGAGGUGGAGCGAAUCCCAAAAAGCCGGCCUCAGUUCGGAUUGGGGUCUGCAACUCGACCCCAUGAAGUCGGAGUCGCUAGUAAUCGCAGAUCAGCAACGCUG